rnacentral:piRNA from 2 species
UAGUGGACAGAAGGGAUUUCUGAA